GCUCAUCCUCACGAAGAGCAGCAGCGCACACAAAGACUCGUGUGCAGGGAAUAAAACGCAAUCGAGAGGCAAAUGUCUGUUUACCGUACCCGGUGCUAAGCAAAAAGUGUCUCCUUUGACGUGCAUUUUGGAGAUGUUAAAACCUCGCAGAUGUGAAAUUGUGGUCGAAGCCAUGCUGCGCUUUCCAGCUUACAGGAGCUGGAGGAACUGAAGUGCAGGCCGAAGGUGAAGGCGGGUGGGAAAUCACAUCCUAGCCUUGACAGCAGAGCUCAGAAGAGUCCAAAAAAAGAGGAGUUAAGCCAUCCAUGGACUUCCUUAGGACAUCCCAGCGGAGCUGCUGAAAAAGGAUUUGCGCCAGAAUGAUGUCAGGGUGUCACGGUCAAUUUGUUUGACCUUCUGAUGCCCCAAGCGAGACCCCUUCCCUCAUUUGGGAGAGUCACGUCCCUGCGUCAUAAUAACAUGCAACCCCAUUCCUCAUAAGAUCACCUAAAGCGAAGGGUCUGAACUUAAAUGAACCUUGACUUGGGUCAUUUAUGCAAACUGUGUUGUGCUCAACUGUUUUUCUUUUUACAUUUUCUCUUGCGCAAAAAAAAAAAAAAAGAGUUGGAUAAUGGAUAAAAUGGCAUGCGAAAAACCAGCCUUAAGAGCCUCAUAACUCCCAGAGCCACAUCAAAUCCGGAAGUUUCCCGAGAGACACGCGCAUUCUCGUUUCCCUUUAUUCCCGACUCGCGGCGCAAGGAAGGUAUGACUGCGUGAAACGUGCGCAGACUGGCGAGUGCAGGUGGAAGAGAGGAGACGCCGUUCUUCCUCACCCCUCUCUCUGGGAUUUACCCUCUUCUGCUUUGUAGCUGAAGCUCACUGCAAGGUGAUUAUUGAUAUUCCAACCCAAACUCCACUUAAACCGAAAUAUCAAUUAUUUACACUGCUCAGAAAGUCAGCAAAUCCAAGUUACUGUCAGAGGCCUUUUAGUGCUGUCGUUAAUCAUCUUUAUUGUAACGAGUGAUGACUAUAUUAUAAUACAGUUAAUCUAUAUUUAGAGCUGUGUUUGCAUUUAUUGGAUGGUCUAUAUUCCCCCUGGUAAUGACCAGUCCUCAUUUCAGACAGCCCUCUUUUCAAAUCUUUAGCAUUUUGUUUUGAUAGGAGGGACAUGAAAUUUUCUAGCAGCGAUGAGCCACAUGUUAUGUCAGUUUAAAUAAAAACAUAUGAAUGGCCUAUACA
rnacentral:lncRNA from 1 species